GACGAACGCUGGCGGCGCGCCUAAUACAUGCAAGUAGAACGCUGAAGGAGGAGCUUGCUUCUCUGGAUGAGUUGCGAACGGGUGAGUAACGCGUAGGUAACCUGCCUGGUAGCGGGGGAUAACUAUUGGAAACGAUAGCUAAUACCGCAUAAGAGUAGAUGUUGCAUGACAUUUGCUUAAAAGGUGCAAUUGCAUCACUACCAGAUGGACCUGCGUUGUAUUAGCUAGUUGGUGGGGUAACGGCUCACCAAGGCGACGAUACAUAGCCGACCUGAGAGGGUGAUCGGCCACACUGGGACUGAGACACGGCCCAGACUCCUACGGGAGGCAGCAGUAGGGAAUCUUCGGCAAUGGACGGAAGUCUGACCGAGCAACGCCGCGUGAGUGAAGAAGGUUUUCGGAUCGUAAAGCUCUGUUGUAAGAGAAGAACGAGUGUGAGAGUGGAAAGUUCACACUGUGACGGUAUCUUACCAGAAAGGGACGGCUAACUACGUG
rnacentral:rRNA from 1 species